CGUUGAAGCACUGGUUCUCAUCCGAUCACUGAAGUUAAGCAAUAUCAAGCCUGGUCAGUACCGAGAUGGGUGUCUUUUUGGGAAUACCAAGUGAAUGU